UACGUAGGUGGCGAGCGUUGUCCGGAUUUACUGGGCGUAGGGAGCGUAGGCGGGCUUUUAAGUGAGAUGUGAAAUACUCGGGCUCAACUUGAGUGCUGCAUUUCAAACUGGAAGUCUAGAGUGCAGGAGAGGAGAAUGGAAUUCCUAGUGUAGCGGUGAAAUGCGUAGAGAUUAGGAAGAACACCAGUGGCGAAGGCGAUUCUCUGGACUGUAACUGACGCUGAGGCUCGAAAGCGUGGGGAGCAAACAGG
rnacentral:rRNA from 1 species